CCGGGCGGGGCGCAGCGGGCCGCGGGGCUCCAGGCGCGCUCCCCGCACUACUCCAGUGCCAUGGUGCGCCCGAGGAGCCGCUGGGUUUAGAGCUGGGGCAGGCGGCGGAGGGAUACUACGGCCGGGAGCCGCCUCACCCCUCCUCAAACUUCCUGACAUUUGAACUCAUUGGUGCGCCUCGUAUCCCUGCGCCGGGAUGAGCCGGCGGCUCCACGUCAAAUAGUGCCGUCGCCGCCCCCCCACCCCCCGCGGGAGGGCUCCCCGCGCCCCCAGCUUGCGCCCCGCUCCGCGCCUGGCCUGGAGCGCGGGCCCCCGGCGCCCCAGCCAGGCCGAGCGCCCGCUGGCCUUUUGCAGAAGUUUGGGUCACCUUCGAAACGAAUCCUUCUGCCCCACCCCUUUGAAAAAUUGAUUUGGGAGUUGGGGAAUGAAGGCUUUCUUUUUUUCUUUCUCGCUUUCCUUAUUAUUAAUAUUUUGUAAAGCUUCAGCGCUAAGCGGAGUGGCCCCAUGCGAGGCCAGACUGCGCGGACGGCGGGGAGCGCAGCGGCUCCACCAGGGGAAGGCGCCGGCCGGGAGUGGCCGCCUGGGGACCCCGUCUGUCGGCCGAGUGUCCUUCUUUCCCCCAGCUGAGUCUGCGGUCCCAGGUCCUUGGCACACAGAUGCGCAGAGCACCCAGGUCUCUCUCAAGCACAAUCUUGGGGCCUGCCCUUCCCACCGCUUGCCCUGUGGAAGUGGUUAGCUGGAAGGGAGUGGCCUAGGCCCUGAGGCCGGUACUGCCCUUAGGCAGUGAGCAGCACCUCGCUCAGAGCAAUGGAGCCCACUCCUUCUGGCACCCACUGACACCCCCUAGGCGGUUCAGUACUCACAACGCCCGAGGCCGCCCGCACCCAGGCACUCCGGCUGAUCCGGGAUUCUCUGUGGCUUGGACUUCAGCCGUAGAAACAGCUUCGGAUUUUCUCCACCUAAGGAAAGACCCAGCCGGCUGUUUGGAAUCCCUUGGAAGGAAGCAAGAACCAAGAAGGAAGCUCUAGGUGGGAGUCCCAACUCCCCCAACCCUGCGGAUGCUUCAUCUCCACGGAGCCCUUCCUUACACCCCCUUGCUCCUCUCUUUAGGGGACUUGCACUUUCUGUGCCUGCCUGUGCUACUGGCCGUCCCCAACGCGGCCCUCUGACUACACCCUCCCUCCCCACGGUGGAAUUCUGUCUGUCCUCCUUGGACUGUGCUUCUGACCAGAACUGAGUGGAGGGAGACGUCCCUUCCCAGUUUACAAACCCAGCUAGAAGCAAGGGCUGGGACUCAGUACAGGGCAAAGCCAGCGGAGUGCCGCGGAGCAGGAAGGCGCGCGGAGGGGGGAGCUGCACGGGAUGCAGGAUUCCAGCGUGCCAGGAGAGUCAGGGCUGUCCGGGAGGCCAGAGUGCUCAGACCUGUCCCACGCUGCCCCGGCACCACUGGCCCCAGCGAUCCUCAGAUAUCCGGGAAGCACACUGGACCAGAGCCACCCCAAGACUCAGCCUGGGUUGGGGGCCGCUAUUCCCUGGCGGCAGCUGGGAUCCGGAGAUCCGGGAGCUCUGGAAGUGGAGCAGGACAGCAACAUCAGAGGUGGAGUGGCCUGGCCUUUGGAGCCAGUACUAACCACACUCUCUUCUGAGCUCUCUUCCGAGCACCGCAGCAUGUUUGACCCUAGGACACGUGUGGCAAAGGCUCAGGCACUUCUCGGCUAGCAGAGAGAAGAAUGCGUGUAAUGGGCAACCCGGUCACCUUCCCACAGCCCAGAGGAAAGUGUCUAUGAUCUUCCUGUGCCUGCGGAGGGCUCACGGAGCCCCUGAGCCAGGUGGAAGGCCAAAAAGAGGAAUGACUGGGGGCAGGGUCAAACUGGGGUCCCCCAGACUCAGGGCUGAGAAUGGGUUCUCACUCUCCCACCUGGGGUUUUCUAGGCUAGUGAGAGGGAGGUGGCAGGGGACAGGAUUUUAGGCAGAGUUUGCUGGUGAGACACAGGGUGUGUGGCUCUGAGACUGUGUGCUGGUACAUGCCUGCAUGCAACGUAGAGGACUGUCCGAGCCCCAGCAAAGUCUUUCUGUCCUCCUGCAGCCCAGCCCCUCCUCAACCAGCUGGUGGGGCCUCUGGCCACAGACCCACGACUUUUCAGUGCAAAGUCUGGGUCAUUAGUCCUGGAAUUCCUCCCGGAGGGUUAGGAGAUCAGGCUCAGAUCUAGAGGCUUCUGUCUGUCCUCAGGGCUUGGAGAAGGACAGUGCCCUGGCCAGGUGGUCCACAGCUAAGGUCUUCUACCUGCGGGCAGUGCUUCGGAGCGGUCAGAAGCAGGUCUCGGAGUUACCAAGGUCUGGUUCAGGAUCUGGCUGUGGGACUCCGGAAAGUCCUGCCUUUUGUUUGCACCUCAGCUUCCUCAUCUGUAAAGGGGGCAUAGUAAUAGCCUCUGUCCCACAGGAGUGUUGAGAGGAUGAAAUGUUAAGUUCUUACCACGGUGCCUGGCACAUCGUAGGCCUCUAGAAGUAUUUGGUGAAUAAUUGGAUAAAAGGGAGUCCGCGGGACUUGGGGAAAUCACAGCUGCCUCCUUCUCUCCCAACCAGGACCUGAGGGGGAAACAGACUUGCUGAGCUCAGCCAUUUAUCUUCCUUUAGGGCAGGUGAAACUCCCAUCUAGGCAGCUGUGGGCGGGGCACAGGAGAUUCCCCAGGCAGUGCCCAGAUGCCCAGCACAGACAGCCUUCUCCAACUGCCCUGGCUGUGGGGCCUGGGCCUGAAGUGCCUUUGGAAGGCAACAGAAUGAGGGGGUGCAGCCUAGUGCAUCAAAACUGACCUGUAGGACUCUCGAGGUGCCAUUUAUAUUUAUUUUUUAAAAGGCACUUUCCUCAAGAAUCUUUGCAUUUCUUGCCAAAUGGAUGGGCUGGGUUAUUUCAGCAGCCCAUCUAGAACCAGGGGCUUCCCCUACCAAGGACCUGAGCCAGAACAAAGGAAAAGCCAAGGACUGAAUUUGGAGCCAUAAAAGCCCCAUUAGGACACUAAGAAUAACUUGCAGAGAAACAUUUUAUAUGAAUUGGACACAAAUUCACAAAAGCAAGAAAGUUCAUUGGUCUCCACCCUGAGGGUCCAUGGCUGGGGAAGGGGGCUGGGUGUGAUGCUGAGGCCAGCGCCCAUCCUAUUUGAUCUUUAUCUCAAAUCCACUUCAAAACGCUGGGGAUUGGCGGAGUUGGAGGUUUCCCUCUUCCUGUAAUUAUUUGGUGUCUAGUAAAGUUUUUAUGAGUGUCUGUGCAAAUAAAUGCAUUUGAUGUGCA